UCAAUCGUGCAACAGAAGUACAGGAAGA
rnacentral:piRNA from 1 species